rnacentral:rRNA from 1 species
UACGGGGGGGGCAAGCGUUGUUCGGAAUUACUGGGCGUAAAGGGCGCGUAGGCGGCGUGGUAAGUCGGGUGUGAAAUCUCGGAGCUUAACUCCGAAACUGCAUUCGAUACUGCCGUGCUUGAGGACUGGAGAGGAGAGUAGAAUUCCUAGUGUAGCGGUGAAAUGCGUAGAUAUUAGGAGGAAUACCAGUAGCGAAGGCGGCUCUCUGGACUGUAACUGACACUGAGGCACGAAAGCGUGGGGAGCAAACAGG